GAUGAAGAACGCAGCGAAAUGCGAUAAGUAAUGUGAAUUGCAGAAUUCAGUGAAUCAUCGAAUCUUUGAACGCACAUUGCGCCCGCCAGUAUUCUGGCGGGCAUGCCUGUUCGAGCGUCAUUACAACCCUCAGGCCCCCGGGCCUGGCGUUGGGGAUCGGCGGAAGCCCCCUGCGGGCACAACGCCGUCCCCCAAAUACAGUGGCGGUCCCGCCGCAGCUUCCAUUGCGUAGUAGCUAACACCUCGCAACUGGAGAGCGGCGCGGCCACGCCGUAAAACACCCAACUUCUGAAUGUUGACCUCGAAUCAGGUAGGAAUACCCGCUGAACUUAAGCAUAUCAAUAAGCGAGGA
rnacentral:misc_RNA from 1 species